AUGUGGGUAAGCAUCUCACGCAAACUUGAUGUUCGCCGUCAUACACGGGAGAUCAUCGAGUCUGCCUCUCAGAGGGAAUGCCCACGCAUUGAUAACCUUGAUACUCUGCAGCGCAAGUUAACAGACAUACUGCAAGGAUCAGGGAAAUUCCUGCUUGUGCUGGAUGAUGUUUGGUUUGAACCUGGUAGCGAAAGGGAAUGGGACCAACUGUUAGCUCCUCUAGUUUCCCAACAGAUGGGAAGCAAAGUCUUGGUAACUUCUCGACGAGAUACAUUUCCACCUGCUCUUUGCUGUGAAGAAGUGUGUCCUCUGGAAAAGAUGGAGGAUGCUCAGUUCUUGGCACUCUUCAAACACCAUGCAUUCUUUGGACCAAAAAUCAGAAAUCCACAGUUGUGUAAAAAGCUGGAAGGUUUUGCAGAGAAGAUUGCUAAAAGGCUUGGACAAUCUCCUUUGGCGGCAAAAGUUAUGGGUUCUCAGUUGAAAGGGAAAACCGAUAUAUCUUCAUGGAAGGAUGCUCUAACUUUAAUGACUGACAAAUUAAGUGAGCCCAUGGCAGCUUUGUUGUGGAGUUAUAAGAAGUUAGAUCCAUGUCUGCAAAGGUGCUUCCUAUACUGUAGCCUCUUUCCAAAAGGCUACAGGUAUGUCAUUGAUGAUUUGGUUUAUCUUUGGAUGGGUGAGGGUCUUUUUGAUUCGUGCAACCAAAACAAGAGAGUGAAAGAUAUUGGGAGGGAUUGCUUCAAGGAGAUGGUCUCUGUUUCAUUCUUUCAACCAUACGUUGGCCCGUAUUAUGUUAUGCAUGAUCUCCUUCAUGAUCUGGCAGAAUCACACUCCAAAGAAGACUACUUCAGAUUGGAAGAUGAUAAGGUGACAGAAAUAUCAUCCACUGUUCGACACCUAUCUGUUCGUGUUGAUAGUAUGAUGCAACACAAGCAAAGUAUCUGCAAGCUACAUCAUUUACGCACUAUUAUCUGCAUAGAACCCAUAGUGGAUGAUGUACGUGACCUUUUUAAUCAGAUAAUACAGAAUUUGAAGAAGUUGUGCGUGCUAUGCUUGUCAUCUUACAGUAGUAGUAAGUUGCCAUAUUCUGCUGGUGAGUUGAAGCACCUUCGGUAUUUGAACCUUAAAGAAACACUGAUUUCUGAAUUGCCAAGAUCAUUGUGUACCCUUUACCACUUACAGUUACUUCUGUUAAAUGGUAAAGUUAAGAGUUUCCCUGAGAAACUCAGCAAUUUAGUGAAGUUACAACAUCUUGAAUCGAGCUUCAAAGAAGCAAUUCCUAACAUUGGCAAGCUAACAUUGCUUCAACAAUUAGGGGAAUUUUCUGUGCAAAAGAAAAAGGGAUAUGAGUUACAACAGCUCAGGGACAUGAACGAGAUUCAUGGCAGUUUAAGGGUCACAAAUCUUGAGAAUGUUGCUGGGAAGGAUCAAGCCUUAGAAUCAAAGCUGCACAAGAAAAGUCAACUUGGCAGCUUAGAACUUGUAUGGAGUUAUGAAAAUAACACAAAUGCAGAGGAUAGUUUACAUUUGGAGGUUCUAAAAGGCCUAAGGCCUGAUGCAAAUCUUGAGAAUCUUGAAAUUGACGGAUACAAAUCUUCAAAAUACCCAGGCUGGUUACUUGAUGGUUCGUAUUUUGAGAAUUUGGAAUCUUUGAGCUGUUUUAAUUGCAGUGCUUUGCAAAGACUACCAUCUAAUAUUGAACUAUAUAGGAAUUGCUCUUCACUUGUCCUCCGAGAUGUGCCAAACCUAAAGACAUUACCUUGUCUUCCACUAUGCCUUAAAACAUUACUAGUACACAAAUGCCCACUGCUUGUAUUUAUUUCCAACGAUGCGUUGGAACAUGAUGAUAAGAGAGAGAAUUUCAUGAUGGCAAACCACUUGGCAUCAUGA
rnacentral:rRNA from 1 species